rnacentral:rRNA from 1 species
GAUGAACGCUGGCGGCGCGCCUAACACAUGCAAGUCGAACGGCACCCCUCCUCGGAGGGAAGCGAGUGGCGAACGGCUGAGUAACACGUGGAGAACCUGCCCCCUCCCCCGGGAUAGCCGCCCGCAAGGACGGGUAAUACCGGAUACCCCGGGGUGCCGCAUGGCACCCCGGCUAAAGCCCCGACGGGGGGGGAUGGCUCCGCGGCCCAUCAGGUAGACGGCGGGGUGACGGCCCACCGUGCCGACAACGGGUAGCCGGGGUGAGAGACCGACCGGCCAGGUUGGGACUGAGGCACGGGCCAGGCACCUACGGGAGGCAGCAGUGGGGAAUCGUGCGAAAGGGGGGGGACCCUGGCGGAGCGACGCCGCGUGCGGGACGGAGGCCUUCGGGUCGUAAACCGCUUUCAGCAGGGAAGAGUCAAGACUGUACCUGCAGAAGAAGCCCCGGCUAACUACGUG